AAUCCAAUCAAGCCUGGCUUGGUAUUGGGCGACGGGACUCCCCGCGCUCCAAUUUCACCGGCUGGCCGUCGCCCGUCUUAGCGUUGUGACACACUUCUCGCUAGCGAUAGGAGCGGAUCACGCCGUUAGAACUCAUGAAUUUCAAUCGAAAUUCGAUUAGG
rnacentral:misc_RNA from 1 species